GGGAGUACGCCGCAAGGUUAAACUCAAGGAAUUGACGGGACCGCACAAGCGUGAUGAUGUGUUUAAUUCGAUCAACGCGAAAACCUUACCACCUUGACAUGUACGGAAGUUACCAGAGAUGUUUCGUGCUCGAAAGAGAACCGUAACACAGGUGCUGCAUGGCUGUCGUCAGCUCGUGUCGUGAGAUGUUGGGUUAAGUCCCGCAACGAGCGCAACCCUUGUCAUUAGUUGCUACGAAAGGGCACUCUAAUGAGACUGCCGGUGAUAAACCGGAGGAAGGUGGGGAUGACGUCAAAUCCUCAUGGCCCUUAUAGGUGGGGCUACACACGUCAUACAAUGGCUGGUACAGAGGGUUGCCAACCCGCGAGGGGGAGCUAAUCCCAUAAAACCAGUCGUAGUCCGGAUCGCAGUCUGCAACUCGACUGCGUGAAGUCGGAAUCGCUAGUAAUCGCGGAUCAGAAUGUCGCGGUGAAUACGUUCCCGGGUCUUGUACACACCGCCCGUCACACCAUGGGAGCGGGUUCUGCCAGAAGUAGUUAGCCUAACCGCAAGGAGGGCGAUUACCACGGCAGGGUUCGUGACUGGGGUGAGGUCGUAACAAGGUAACCGUA
rnacentral:rRNA from 1 species